rnacentral:rRNA from 1 species
AGUGAACGCUGGCGGUAGGCCUAACACAUGCAAGUCGAACGGCAGCACAGUAAGAGCUUGCUCUUACGGGUGGCGAGUGGCGGACGGGUGAGGAAUACAUCGGAAUCUACUUUUUCGUGGGGGAUAACGUAGGGAAACUUAAGCUAAUACAGCAGACGACCUACGGGUGAAAGCAGGGGAUCUUCGGACCUUGCGGGAUUGAAUGAGCCGAUGUCGGAUUAGCUAGUUGGCGGGGUAAAGGCCCACCAAGGCGACGAUCCGUAGCUGGUCUGAGAGGAUGAUCAGCCACACUGGAACUGAGACACGGACCAGACUCCUACGGGAGGCAGCAGUGGGGAAUAUUGGACAAUGGGCGCAAGCCUGAUCCAGCCAUACCGCGUGGGUGAAGAAGGCCUUCGGGUUGUAAAGCCCUUUUGUUGGGAAAGAAAAGCAGCAGGUUAAUACCCCGCUGUUCUGACGGUACCCAAAGAAUAAGCACCGGCUAACUUCGUG